AUUGAACGCUGGCGGCAUGCUUUACACAUGCAAGUCGAACGGCAGCGCGGGGGCAACCCUGGCGGCGAGUGGCGAACGGGUGAGUAAUGCAUCGGAACGUAUCCUGUAAUGGGGGAUAACGUAGCGAAAGUUACGCUAAUACCGCAUACGCUCGAGAGAGGAAAGUGGGGGAUCGCAAGACCUCACGUUAUAGGAGCGGCCGAUGUCCGAUUAGCUAGUUGGUGGGGUAAAGGCCUACCAAGGCGACGAUCGGUAGCUGGUCUGAGAGGAUGAUCAGCCACACUGGGACUGAGACACGGCCCAGACUCCUACGGGAGGCAGCAGUGGGGAAUUUUGGACAAUGGGCGAAAGCCUGAUCCAGCCAUGCCGCGUGCGGGAAGAAGGCCUUCGGGUUGUAAACCGCUUUAGUCCGGGAAAAAGGGGUGCGAGGUUAAUACCCUCGUG
rnacentral:rRNA from 1 species